rnacentral:rRNA from 1 species
ACGCUGGCGGCAGGCUUAACACAUGCAAGUCGAACGGUAGCAGGAGAAAGCUUGCUUUCUUGCUGACGAGUGGCGGACGGGUGAGUAAUGCUUGGGAAUCUGGCUUAUGGAGGGGGAUAACUACGGGAAACUGUAGCUAAUACCGCGUAGUGUCGAGAGACGAAAGUGCGGGACCGCAAGGCCGCAUGCCAUGAGAUGAGCCCAAGUGGGAUUAGGUAGUUGGUGGGGUAAAGGCCUACCAAGCCUGCGAUCUCUAGCUGGUCUGAGAGGAUGGCCAGCCACACCGGAACUGAGACACGGUCCAGACUCCUACGGGAGGCAGCAGUGGGGAAUAUUGCGCAAUGGGGGGAGCCCUGACGCAGCCAUGCCGCGUGAAUGAAGAAGGCCUUCGGGUUGUAAAGUUCUUUCGGUAUUGAGGAAGGUUGAUGUGUUAAUAGUACAUCAAAUUGACGUUAAAUACGGAAGAAGCACCGGCUAACUCCGUGCCAGCAGCCGCGGUAAUACGGAGGGUGCGAGCGUUAAUCGGAAUAACUGGGCGUAAAGGGCACGCAGGCGGUUAUUUAAGUGAGGUGUGAAAGCCCCGGGCUUAACCUGGGAAUUGCAUUUCAGACUGGGUAACUAGAGUACUUUAGGGAGGGGUAGAAUUCCACGUGUAGCGGUGAAAUGCGUAGAGAUGUGGAGGAAUACCGAAGGCGAAGGCAGCCCCUUGGGAAUGUACUGACGCUCAUGUGCGAAAGCGUGGGGAGCAAACAGGAUUAGAUACCCUGGUAGUCCACGCUGUAAACGCUGUCGAUUUGGGGAUUGGGCUUAAAGCUUGGUGCCCGUAGCUAACGUGAUAAAUCGACCGCCUGGGGAGUACGGCCGCAAGGUUAAAACUCAAAUGAAUUGACGGGGGCCCGCACAAGCG